GACGAACGCUGGCGGCGUGCUUAACACAUGCAAGUCGAACGCUGAAGACCUGGCUUUUGUUGGGUUGGAUGAGUGGCGAACGGGUGAGUAACACGUGAGUAACCUGCCCUCUUCUUUGGGAUAACGCCCGGAAACGGGUGCUAAUACUGGAUAUUCACUGGCCUUCGCAUGGGGGUUGGUGGAAAGGUUUGUUCUGGUGGGGGAUGGGCUCGCGGCCUAUCAGCUUGUUGGUGGGGUGAUGGCCUACCAAGGCUUUGACGGGUAGCCGGCCUGAGAGGGUGACCGGUCACAUUGGGACUGAGAUACGGCCCAGACUCCUACGGGAGGCAGCAGUGGGGAAUAUUGCACAAUGGGCGGAAGCCUGAUGCAGCGACGCCGCGUGAGGGAUGGAGGCCUUCGGGUUGUAAACCUCUUUCGCUCAUGGUCAAGCCGCAACUGUGGGUUGUGGUGAGGGUAGUGGGUAAAGAAGCGCCGGCUAACUACGUGCCAGCAGCCGCGGUAAUACGUAGGGCGCGAGCGUUGUCCGGAAUUAUUGGGCGUAAAGGGCUUGUAGGCGGUUGGUCGCGUCUGCCGUGAAAUCCUCUGGCUUAACUGGGGGCGUGCGGUGGGUACGGGCUGACUUGAGUGCGGUAGGGGAGACUGGAACUCCUGGUGUAGCGGUGGAAUGCGCAGAUAUCAGGAAGAACACCGGUGGCGAAGGCGGGUCUCUGGGCCGUUACUGACGCUGAGGAGCGAAAGCGUGGGGAGCGAACAGG
rnacentral:rRNA from 1 species